rfam:Hordeum vulgare subsp. vulgare, WGS project CAJW01000000 data, contig: morex_contig_45889
CAUAUACUCCUUCCGUUCAGAAAUGCUUGUCAUGGGUAUGGAUGCAUCUGGAUGUAUUCUAGUUUUAGAUACAUUCAUUUUUAUCUAUUUGUGUGACAAGUAAUUCCGGAAGGGAGGGAGUACGUG